UCUUGGCAGGUCAGCAUGAUCCUGGCUAGGAGAGCACUAGGAAGUGAGGAGAUAAAAUCAGAAUUUUAACAUGGUUUUGGACAUGGCCCACCACACAUGAACUCGGAGGCCAGAAUGAUGAGUUUCUGGAGAUCAUGUCAUCCAGGAGGUAACUCAGAUGACAUUGUGCUGAAUGCAUCAAGCCCUGGAACACUGAAAGGAACCUCCUGAAUGACAGUCAGGCUCAUUCUAAAGAGUUUGACCUAGGUAUCCACACAGGAAAACCCUAUUGCCCAGAUUAUGGCACCCAUUUCAAUGAACAACCUAUAGAACUUUUCCAUCAGUAUUUCAAUCUUGGGAAGAUACUACAGAUGGACAAAAAGUUGGACUUCUAGCUGAGCAAGAGGAGAAAAGGAGCAGGACUGUCUUUGGAAAAUUUCACAGUUAUUUUAAUGACCAUGAACAUUUCCCUGAAGCAAAAACCCAUCUUUUAAAUAUUUAUAUUCUUCUAGUGUUGUAUGCCUAUGAGUCAUGGAAGACUACGGUUGCCAAAUAAUUGAAAUUGAGGAUCUUGCAAAGACCACCAUAUCAUAUAAUAUGUCACUCCAAUUCAAUAAGUGUUGUUUCUCCAACACUUAAAGCACCAUACAAGAAUCCAAAGAAAGAGAGCAAUGAAGAAAAGAGUAAUCAGAGAAGAUGUUGAAGGAUGGAUCCUGUUUGCACAGGCAUAGGGUCCCUCUUAGAGAGGGGAAGAACAUAUUAGAGACUAGUCUUGAUGGCAUGUUUGCAGGCCACUCAUGAGACUGGUUUGUCUAGAGGAAAUAAAGUUGGCCAAUUAGGACAAAAUUUUGGAGGUUCUUGAGAGCAAGAGAUUCAUGCACUUCCUACGUCAUGGCAUCUCAGUGACUUUGAUAGCUAAGACAUAGUUUUAAAAAGUUAGGCCAUCUCAUUUUGAUCCAGUCCUCUAGGAAGCACUGAAAUAUCAUUCCCCCUCUCAUCCCUCAUAAAGCACCUGUUUAUAACAAAUGGCCAACUUUCUUGCCAAUUUCUGCUGCAGCUGUUUAUUCUGGACAUGUGGAAGCUCAUGAUCAACUUAAUUUUAUGCAUGCCUCAACAGAAGCUGGGAGUUUUCAGAAUGCAUUUAAACAUCUCUUUAUUAUUUUGGAUCCUUUGGCGUUUAGACAACAGGGUCUCAGGGCUAUAUCUUUAACAACCGAACUAGGUCACUGGCCAUAAUAUUAUGAAUUAUGGUACUAGUAGCUGGAAAUACGUGACUUUCUAGCACUAGCCAGUAGUUACAGUCAUUACAGAUAACAACAAUUGUGUGCCUUGAGUUGUUAUCAACAACCUGGGAGAAUGACCUUCAUUUUCUAAAUUGUCUCAAACUCUUCUAGUCCAAGUCCUUAUUUCACUUUCAUCACUAAGGUUGGCCCAGAGUCUUCUCCGGUGCAGACUUCUGCACACUGUGAUCUUCUCCUCCUUAUAACAUACCAGCAGAGAACUUUUACAGGUCAUCUGAAUGAUGCCAUUAGUGUGAACUUGUUGAAUAAAAGAGGGUGUUUGGUGACUGCUUAGCUUACCCUUCUGGCUAGCAUUUCAAGUUCUUAGCUAGAAUCACUUGAAGGAGCAUGUAAGGUUCCCUCCUCAGGGCUGCACGAGGGGACAGCCUGUGCAAAACCAAUCAGCCACCAUACGUCAAGCAGUGUUUGUAUAUGUUUCAGCGUAUCCAGGCAAAGUCUUUUAACUUUCCAUCCUACGGGCUGGAGCUGUACUUUCCUGAAUGGCAGCCAGGAAAAAUUUUGUAGAUUUGGCAGGAAGACUGUGGGAAGCCUGGUGCAAGACCAGCCUGAGAGCUGGAGCAGGCUCUUUCUACAAAGGACAGACCAUCGAAACACCUCCCUUUGUUUCACCCUACAAGGGAACAUAAAUGGAGCCCCAAGAUCACAAUCAGGACCUAUUGUAUAAACUUGGGGUUUCCAUGACUAGGUUGCAUUUUUUGGCACCAAACACCUUAUUAUUUUUCAACUGGAAAACUAAUUAGAAAGGAUUCUUUUUUUAUCUGGGUGUUAAUACUAUGGCCCUGGCCCAUUUUCUGGCCCUUGGCCACAUCGUUGUAGUCCCCAGGGCAAUGCCUGACAAAUUAAGAUAAAACCGUUACUUAAUGUUUUCCUACUAAGAG